AGGGAAUCUUCCGCAAUGGACGAAAGUCUGACGGAGCAACGCCGCGUGAGUGAUGAAGGUUUUCGGAUCGUAAAGCUCUGUUGCCAGGGAAGAACGUCCGUUAGAGUAACUGCUAACGGAGUGACGGUACCUGAGAAGAAAGCCCCGGCUAACUACGUGCCAGCAGCCGCGGUAAUACGUAGGGGGCGAGCGUUGUCCGGAAUUAUUGGGCGUAAAGCGCGCGCAGGCGGCGUGUUAAGUCGGGUGUUUAAUCCUGGGGCUCAACCCCGGGUCGCACUGGAAACUGGACAGCUUGAGUGCAGAAGAGGAGAGUGGAAUUCCACGUGUAGCGGUGAAAUGCGUAGAGAUGUGGAGGAACACCAGUGGCGAAGGCGACUCUCUGGGCUGUAACUGACGCUGAGGCGCGAAAGCGUGGGGAGCAAAC
rnacentral:rRNA from 1 species